AGGUGCGAUCAUACCAGCACUAAUGCACCGGAUCCCAUCAGAACUCCGCAGUUAAGCGUGCUUGGGCGAGAGUAGUACUGGGAUGGGUGACCUCCUGGGAAGUCCUUGUGUUGCACCUC
rnacentral:rRNA from 2 species